AUCAACCCUAUCGACACAAUCAACUUCAUGUUCAAUGUUGCUUCAAUUUAGCUGCAUACAUAUGGCAUGUAAAUAUGUAUGUGCAUUUAAAGCGUAAAUUCUUCCUUGGUUACCAGUGAUAAGUGGAACGCCCCAUUUUCAUUGCACGAAAACACUUGAAAUAACUCAGCUUGAUGGCAUUCGCUUUAUUUGUUCACUCAUUUAACCUUCCUUCCUUUUCGGACAUUCUGAUCUAUCGGCAAUGCUGCAACAAGCUGCAGCAGCCGUAAAUGCUGCAACUACUACCAAUACAAGCAGUUAUUCAGAUACAUGGGUGAGUAAUGUUCAAUGCACUUAGCGAUUCAUACAGAAAGCUAGACGAGUGUUAUCAACUCCAGACGAUGAAUCCGGAUUAAUCUGAGGUCAUUAUCGCAGCAGCAAA